UCAAGGGGAUAGCAAUAUCACCGGCGGACGGGUGCGUAACGCGUACACAACGUGCCCAAGGGCGGAGGAAAGCGGCGGGAAACUGCCGGUAAUACUCCAUGGCGUUGCAGGGUGGCAUCACCUUGCAACUAAAGUACAAGCGCCCUUGGAUCGGUGUGCGUUCGAUUAGCUAGUUGGCGGGGUAACGGCCCACCAAGGCUCCGAUCGAUAGGGGGUGUGAGAGCAUGGCCCCCCACACGGGUACUGAGACACGGACCCGACUCCUACGGGAGGCAGCAGUAAGGAAUAUUGGACAAUGGGCGGAAGCCUGAUCCAGCCAUGCCGCGUGAAGGAUGAAGGCGCUCAGCGUUGUAAACUUCUUUUGGAUGGGAACAAUAACCGAGACUUGUCUUGGCUUGAGGGUACCAUCAGAAUAAGCACCGGCUAACUCCGUGCCAGCAGCCGCGGUAAUACGGAGGGUGCAAGCGUUAUCCGGAAUCACUGGGUUUAAAGGGUGCGUAGGCGGUCUAAUAAGUCAGUCGUGAAAUCGCUGGGCUCAACCCAUGCAAUUGCGAUUGAUACUGCUAGACUUGAAUGGGGUUGAGGCUGGCGGAAUGCGACAUGUAGCGGUGAAAUGCUUAGAUAUGUCGCAGAACACCGAUUGCGAAGGCAGCCAGCUGGGCCUUUAUUGACGCUGAGGCACGAAAGCGUGGGGAGCAAA
rnacentral:rRNA from 1 species